rnacentral:piRNA from 1 species
UAUCAAAUGCGAAUGCAAGAU